UACAGAGACUGCAAGCGUUAUUCGGAUUCACUGGGCGUAAAGGGUGCGCAGGCGGCCAGGUGUGUCAGGUGUGAAAGCCCGGAGCUUAACUCCGGAAUUGCGCCUGAAACUACUUGGCUAGAGCAUUGGAGAGGGUAGCGGAAUUCACGGUGUAGCAGUGAAAUGCGUAGAUAUCGUGAGGAACACCAGAGGCGAAGGCGGCUACCUGGGACGGUACUGACGCUGAGACGCGAAAGCGUGGGGAGCGAACAGG
rnacentral:rRNA from 1 species